UUUAGCAACUAGGAUUUAUAUGGCCUUCCUGACUAAAGUGUUAACUUGUGAUUGAAAAGUCAUGUUUUCUAAGAAUAUACGCAAUACUAUAAAACAUAUUUAAAUUAAUGGAUCUAGUUUCUUAUGUAUGCUCUAAAAAGCACGUGCAACAAUUUUCCCCAGUAAAUGAAAUAAAGCUUCUAUCUAUUUAUUUCAGCCUUAGGAAGAAAUGACUGGAUUGAGUUUAACCAAAUAGAGAUGGUGAAAUUAAAAUAGAGGCCAUGGUUAUCAAGUACAUCAACAAAAUAGGCAGUCACGCUUCAGAAGAGAAACAGAGAUGCACACAGAGAUUGGAAGAAAUUAAGACAAUUAUUCAAGGGUCCAUGACUAUACCAGGAAAAAUGUUAAGAAAAAUCUCUCUGAGCCUGUUUCAUAGAAUGAGGCUUGCCUUGGAGCAUCCCAGGACUAUUGGCUAAAUUAGCUUUAAGCAUAAAAAUAACCAUGAAGAGAACAGGAAGAAAAGGCCUCAAUUUCCAACAAGAUAACCUGUGGGAAUAAGGAUAUGUUGACCUGCAUUUUCUGACCACUUCCGGCCUGAGUUCCAGGGAAGAGAGUCCUGUUAGGAGGAUUUUCAAUUUCUCAAGGACAAAAGGUCUUUUAUUUCAUUUUCUACUUGGGUCUUUAACAGGCAUGUCCUUUUCAUGGGAUUGUACUAAAG
rnacentral:lncRNA from 1 species